rnacentral:lncRNA from 1 species
GCACUACAACAAAAACGGUCUAUAGCGACACUUUUAAGUGUAGGGACAUGUCAAAAAAGUGCUGCUAGCUAAAAUCACCGACACUUUUAAAAAGUGUUGCUAUAUGUGGGGUCGCUAGGUAUAUAGUGGCAGUUAAAGAGUGUCGCUAUAACUUAAAAUAGUGCUGCUAAUUUACCAACAACUUAUUUAAGCAUUUAGCAACCGCCGAAACUCUAUCUCGUUGGCUGCGGCGGCGGAGGAGGACAACAGGAAUGACUCUUCGUCUAGAAUUUCAGUAGAUUGAGUGAAGAGAGAAGAAAAUAUAGUAAUUGAUUUUUCUUUUCUUUUUUUCUUUUUUGUUUGUAAUCGGGCCAAAUGGACUGGGUGUGGUGGGUUGAGUGGAGUAAUCUUUUAUUUUUGGUUGUAUUGGGCUUUAUAUUUAGGCAUUAGUAGAUGUUUUUUUAAGUUUUAGCAUAAAUGGGACACUUAC